rnacentral:rRNA from 1 species
GACGAACGCUGGCGGCGUGCUUAACACAUGCAAGUCGAACGGUAAGGCCCUUCGGGGUACACGAGUGGCGAACGGGUGAGUAACACGUGGGUGAUCUGCCCUGCACUUCGGGAUAAGCCUGGGAAACUGGGUCUAAUACCGGAUAGGACCACUGCCUGCAUGGGUGGUGGUGGAAAGCUUUUGCGGUGUGGGAUGGGCCCGCGGCCUAUCAGCUUGUUGGUGGGGUGAUGGCCUACCAAGGCGACGACGGGUAGCCGGGCUGCGAGGGUGACCGGCCACAGUGGGACUGAGAUGCGGCCGAGACUCGUAGGGGAGGAAGCGGGGGGGAAUAUUGCAGAAUGGGCGCACGCUGGAGGCCGCGACGCCGGGUGGGGGAGGACGCCCUUCGGGUUGUAAACCUCUUUCGGCACCGACGAAGCGAAAGGGAGGGUAGGUGAAGAAGAAGGACGGGCAAACUAGGUGCCAGCAGCCGCCGUAA